rnacentral:rRNA from 1 species
UACGUAGGGUGCAAGCGUUAACCGGAAUUACUGGGCGUAAAGGGUGUGUAGGCGGUCUGUUAAGUCUGGUGUGAAAUCCCCGGGCUCAACCUGGGAACUGCAUUGGAAACUGGCAGACUGGAGUACGUAAGAGGGGGGUAGAAUUCCACGUGUAGCAGUGAAAUGCGUAGAGAUGUGGAGGAAUACCGAUGGCGAAGGCAGCACCCUGGGACGAUACUGACGCUCAUGCACGAAAGCGUGGGGAGCAAACAGG